rnacentral:rRNA from 1 species
GUAGUCUCGCACAGAUGCAUAUCAAUAAGCGGAGGAAAAGAAACUAACAAGGAUUCCCCUAGUAAGCGGCGAGUGAAGCGGGAAGAGCUCAAAUUUGAAAUCUUAAAGGGUUUCCCUUUACGAAUCGUAGUUUAAAGAAGUGUUUUCUGUUGAGGUUUUGGUAAAAGUUCUUUGGAAUAGGACAUCAUAGAGGGUGAGAAUCCCGUAUUUGACCUUUACUUUCAACUUUGUGAUACACUUUCAAAGAGUCGGAUUGUUUGGGAAUGCAGUCCAAAAUGGGUGGUAAAUUUCAUCUAAAGCUAAAUAUUGGCGAGAGACCGAUAGCGAACAAGUACCGUGAGGGAAAGAUGAAAAGAACUUUGAAAAGAGAGUUAAACAGUACGUGAAAUUGUCAAAAGGGAAGCGUUUGACACCAGUGUUGUUUUUCUGAAAAUCAAUUAAAGAACUGUUUAUGCUAAGCUGUUUAGACUUUAUCAGCUAACUGUUUAGUUUUGAGCUUUUCUUUAAUGCACUUUUCAGUUAACAAGUCAACAUCAAUUUCUUUUGCUGUAAAAAAGCUUGAGGAAGGUGGCUUGAGAUUCGUCUUAAGUGUUUAUAGCCUCUUGCCUAUGCAGUCGGAGAGAUUGAGGUCUGCAGCGUAGAUCCUUCGGGGCUAAAUGCAUUUGUGCUAAGUUAUAGCAUUUUAUAGACAACUUGUUGACUAUGAUUUGUCUUGUAGCUUACUCGCUUAUGUUAUUUUACCUACGCUUAGGAUGUUGAAGACUCUACAGAGAUA